UACGUAGGGUGCAAGCGUUAAUCGGAAUUACUGGGCGUAAAGCGUGCGCAGGCGGUUUUGUAAGUCUGACGUGAAAUCCCCGGGCUCAACCUGGGAAUUGCGUUGGAGACUGCAAGGCUAGAAUCUGGCAGAGGGGGGUAGAAUUCCACGUGUAGCAGUGAAAUGCGUAGAGAUGUGGAGGAACAUCGAUGGCGAAGGCAGCCCCCUGGGUCAAGAUUGACGCUCAUGCACGAAAGGCGUGGGGAGCAA
rnacentral:rRNA from 1 species